CUUUCCUUGAAUGUUUGGGGAAUAUGACCUGCCCACUGAAAUAUUUGAAGGGCCGCGGUAAUUUGACCGUGCAAAGGUAGCAUAAUCAUUAGUUUCUUAAUUGGGAACUGGAAUGAAUGGUUAGAUGAAAUAUAUGCUGUCUUGGCUUAAUUUAUAGAAUUUAAUUAUUAGGUUAAAAAGCCUAAAUGGAUUUGUGGGACGAGAAGACCCUAUAGAAUUUGAUAAUUUGAACUGCGGUUUUGUAUGAUUUUUAUUAGUAUUUUGAAUUAUUUUGUUGGGGUGAUAGGAAGAUAAAUCAAACUCUUUUUGUUUUGUUUAUAUUGAUAAAUAAAUAGGUGAUCCAUCUAAUGAUGAUUAUAAGAUUUAAUUACCUUAGGGAUAACAGCGUAAUCUUUCUUGAGAGUUCAUAUCGACAGGAAGGGUUGCGA
rnacentral:rRNA from 1 species